UACGGAGGGUGCAAGCGUUAUCCGGAAUCACUGGGUUUAAAGGGUGCGUAGGCGGCUUUUUAAGUCAGUGGUGAAAUUCUACCGCUUAACGGUAGGGGGUCCAUUGAUACUGAGAAGCUUGAAAAGGGUUGAGGUAGGCAGAAUGUGGCAUGUAGCGGUGAAAUGCUUAGAUAUGCCAUAGAACACCGAUUGCGAAGGCAGCUUACUGGACCGAUUUUGACGCUGAGGCACGAAAGCGUGGGGAGCGAACAGGAUUAGAUACCCUGGUAGUCCACGCCCUAAACGAUGUUUACUCGUUGUGCGGGAGCAAUUUUGCGCAACCAAGCGAAAGCGAUAAGUAAACCACCUGGGGAGUACGCUCGCAAGAGUGAA
rnacentral:rRNA from 1 species